UAGGUAAUCGAGGAGCUUGAGGGGGGUUAGUUGUAUGUUCAUUUUUGGAACAGUACGUUAGUCGCGGAGAAUCUAGUUCGACCUCGGCGUACGUUAACGUAGAGUUGUUCGAAAAAACUGUGCGGUUUGUCGAGUUGAAGUGAUUUUUGGUUUCUUUCAGGAAGGAGGUAGAACAAAAACAACACCAAAAUGGACGCCAUCAAGAAGAAAAUGCAGGCGAUGAAGAUGGAGAAGGAUGCGGCGAUGGACAAAGCCGACACCUGCGAAGGACAAGCUAAAGAUGCCAACCUCCGUGCCGAUAAGGUUAUGGAGGAUGUCCGAGAGGCUCAAAAGAAACUCCAACAAGUUGAAAGUGAUCUUGAAUUAGCCAAAAGAAAAUUGGAAGAUGCUAACAAAGAUUUAGAAGAAAAAGAAAAAGCCCUCGCUCAGGCUGAAGGUGAAGUAGCUUCAUUGAACAGAAAAGUCCAAAUGAUUGAAGAAGAUUUAGAACGAUCUGAAGAAAGAUCGGGAACCGCAACUGCCAAAUUAGCCGAAGCUUCCCAAGCCGCCGACGAAUCCAAACGUAUGUGCAAAGUACUAGAAAACAGAAGCCAACAAGAUGAAGAAAGAAUGGAUCAAUUAACCAAUCAAUUGAAAGAAGCUAGACUUUUGGCUGAAGAUGCUGAUGGAAAAUCAGAUGAAGUUUCCAGGAAGUUGGCCUUCGUUGAAGAUGAAUUAGAAGUAGCUGAAGAUCGUGUAAAAUCCGGUGACUCUAAAAUUAUGGAAUUAGAAGAAGAAUUGAAAGUUGUAGGAAACAGUUUGAAAUCAUUGGAAGUUUCUGAAGAAAAAGCUAACCAACGUGUUGAAGAAUACAAACAGCAAAUUAAAUCCUUAACCGUAAGACUUAAAGAAGCCGAAGCUAGAGCAGAAUUCGCUGAGAAAACCGUCAAGAAAUUACAGAAAGAAGUUGACAGACUCGAAGAUCAUCUUUUCCAAGAGAAGGAAAAAACAAAAACUAUUUGCGACGAUUUAGAUUCUACAUUUGCAGAGCUUACUGGCUAUUAACUUGCUUUGCAUUCAUUUUCAUGUUUAUUAGAAAUAGCUUUAUACUUUAUACUAAAAAGAUUAUUGCUUCGCUACAUUGGCAUGAAUAAUUUCGCUUUCAUAAGACGAACUUGGUCUCAACAAAGACAGAUACAAGUCAUUGGCUGACGAAAUGGACUCCACAUUCGCCGAAUUGGCUGGUUACUAAUGACAAACUGUUUUAUUGUAAACUCGAAACACUAAGAAACAAUAAAUUCUACAAGUUAAGAUGUUUAUUACUAUUUAUUUAUUCUUUUUUUUUUGAAAAUUUAUUCGAUUUCUAAGCUAUUUAACCAAUUAAAUACCUUCAAACCUACGUAUAUUUUCAAAUAGCAUUUAUCGAUUUCGAAUAUUUUUUUCGACCUACCAUAAGUUUAUUGAUAACUAAAUUUUUAACGCGAGUUGGGUACCUACAUUUGUAACAGAAAUUCGAAUAGUGUUAACACCACUAAUCAUGUAAUUAGCGUCAAUUAACAUUUUUCAUUUUUUAAAAAUGACAAUGGCAAACUUGUAAAUAUGAAAUUUUUUUCUUCAAUUUUUGGUUUCUCUUGCAAGGAUAUACCUAAAUUUAUUUUUUUCCCCUCUAGUACACGAGUUAGCUCAACGAUUUUCAAGUGUACUGUUCGUUAUGUUACUUCACUUUAUUGUUGAAUCUUUAUAAGUUGUAAAUUUUAUCGUAGCAGAUUAUCGAAUAAAUAAUAUUUAUUUAUCAA